rnacentral:rRNA from 1 species
UGGGGAAUUUUCCGCAAUGGGGGCAACCCUGACGGAGCAACGCCGCGUGCGGGAGGAAGGCCUUUGGGUUGUAAACCGCUUUUCUCAGGGAAGAAGCUCUGACGGUACUUGAGGAAUCAGCAUCGGCUAACUCCGUGCCAGCAGCCGCGGUAAUACGGAGGAUGCAAGCGUUAUCCGGAAUGAUUGGGCGUAAAGCGUCUGCAGGUGGCUAUGCAAGUCUGCUGUUAAAGAGUGGAGCUCAACUCCAUAAGGGCAGUGGAAACUGCGUAACUAGAGUACGUUCGGGGUAGAGGGAAUUCCUGGUGUAGCGGUGAAAUGCGUAGAUAUCAGGAAGAACACCGGUGGCGAAAGCGCUCUACUAGGCCGUAACUGACACUGAGAGACGAAAGCUAAGGGAGCGAAUGGGAUUAGAUACCCCCGUAGUCC